AAAAAAAAAAAAAAAGGAAAAGAAAAAGAAUAGAAAAUCUCAGUGAAAAUUUUAAUAACCUUUUUAAAGAAUGGACUAUUUGCUGCUAAUAUAGGAGAGCUGAUAUGUAACGUUUUAACUCUUAUAACUCCCGAACUAUCCUCAGACCCAUUUGAAUCAUCACUAUUUGCUGCAUCAUCUCCUGCAGUUUUUGCUAAAAUAAAUUUUAGGGAUCAUACCAACAAAUCAGAAACUAAAAAAUAAUAGAAAAGACAUUCAACUACAUAAGAAGAUUCUUCCAAUGAGAAUAAUAAUCACAUUGAACUGGAAGUCCUUAAAUUCAUUAUGCAUAGAUGGCAAAAGAAAAUGUAAAAAUAUCUAGUGUCCUCCAACUAACACGAAUAAUUUAAUUCAUCCUUCAAAAUUUAUGUUUCUUCCUUUCAGACAUCAUUUAGACAAAAAAUUACAAAACCUGAGACAUUGGUGUACUGUGAAGUGGGAACAGUUCUUACUUCUUAAUUUACAAAUAUUACGGAUCUUCAACUAUUGAUUUUGAUUGCUAGAUACCAACCACAAAACUUAAGUGAAUAUUACACUGAUGGAAGUAUGCAAAAGAAAACUUUGCCCCAAGAUAGUGCAAAGAAUUAACUUGAUUCUUUAGUUUCAGUUGCAUGGAACUGAAAUACAUGGGGGAUUACUUAAAUUUUUGAUACUUUAGAUAGAAAGAAUUCAUUUGAACUGAUUCCUUGCCUGAACUUGCUCCUGCACUUAUCUACAGUUAUAAAGCUAUUAAUAUCAUAUUCUUCACAGGUUCCCUGGCUGCAGUAUUGUUUCACUCACUCAACUGUUAAACUGAUGACAAGCAGACAAUUAGAAAAAUACUUAUUGGUGCAGCACCAAUAGAAAAUUUAACGAGGAAGAGAAAAUCAAUGAAUCGGGAAGAAGAAUCCAGGGGAAGCAAUGGAAGAAGAAGAAAAUAGAAGAAGAGGGGAAAUUUCGUCACAAGCCACCAAAAAUCUUUAUUCAAUCAUCAACUAAUGAAAUUAUAUGGAAAAGUAAGUUUAAAUAAUAAACCAAAACCCUAACUAGAAUGGGUUUGGGCCAAUACAAGCCCAAUAAAAAUCCACAACAGAAUAAAGUCUACCAAAAUAAAAUAAGGUCCAAAAUGAAGUAAGGUUCAACUAUAAAUAAAUAAAA
rnacentral:lncRNA from 1 species